CCUACGGGAGGCAGCGGUGAGGAAUAUUGGUCAAUGGACGAGAGUCUGAACCAGCCAAGUAGCGUGAAGGAUGACUGCCCUAUGGGUUGUAAACUUCUUUUAUAUGGGAAUAAAAUGUUCCACGUGUGGGAUUUUGUAUGUACCAUAUGAAUAGGGAUCGGCUAACUCCGUGCCAGCAGCCGCGGUAAUACGGAGGAUCCGAGCGUUAUCCGGAUUUAUUGGGUUUAAAGGGAGCGUAGGUGGAUUGUUAAGUCAGUUGUGAAAGUUUGCGGCUCAACCGUAAAAUUGCAGUUGAAACUGGCAGUCUUGAGUACAGUAGAGGUGGGCGGAAUUCGUGGUGUAGCGGUGAAAUGCUUAGAUAUCACGAAGAACUCCGAUUGCGAAGGCAGUUCACUGGACUGCAACCGACACUGAGGCUCGAAAGUGUGGGUAUCAAACAGGAUUAGAUACCCUAGUAGUC
rnacentral:rRNA from 1 species